rnacentral:rRNA from 1 species
AGAGUUUGAUCAUGGCUCAGAUUGAACGCUGGCGGCAGGCCUAACACAUGCAAGUCGAACGGUAACAGGAAGCAGCUUGCUGCUUCGCUGACGAGUGGCGGACGGGUGAGUAAUGUCUGGGAAGCUGCCUGAUGGAGGGGGAUAACUACUGGAAACGGUAGCUAAUACCGCAUAAUGUCGCAAGACCAAAGAGGGGGACCUUCGGGCCUCUUGCCAUCGGAUGUGCCCAGAUGGGAUUAGCUUGUUGGUGGGGUAACGGCUCACCAAGGCGACGAUCCCUAGCUGGUCUGAGAGGAUGACCAGCCACACUGGAACUGAGACACGGUCCAGACUCCUACGGGAGGCAGCAGUGGGGAAUAUUGCACAAUGGGCGCAAGCCUGAUGCAGCCAUGCCGCGUGUAUGAAGAAGGCCUUCGGGUUGUAAAGUACUUUCAGCGGGGAGGAAGGGAGUAAAGUUAAUACCUUUGCUCAUUGACGUUACCCGCAGAAGAAGCACCGGCUAACUCCGUGCCAGCAGCCGCGGUAAUACGGAGGGUGCAAGCGUUAAUCGGAAUUACUGGGCGAAAAGCGCACGCAGGCGGUUUGUUAAGUCAGAUGUGAAAUCCCCGGGCUCAACCUGGGAACUGCAUCUGAUACUGGCAAGCUUGAGUCUCGUAGAGGGGGGUAGAAUUCCAGGUGUAGCGGUGAAAUGCGUAGAGAUCUGGAGGAAUACCGGUGGCGAAGGCGGCCCCCUGGACGAAGACUGACGCUCAGGUGCGAAAGCGUGGGGAGCAAACAGGAUUAGAUACCCUGGUAGUCCACGCCGUAAACGAUGUCGACUUGGAGGUUGUGCCCUUGAGGCGUGGCUUCCGGAGCUAACGCGUUAAGUCGACCGCCUGGGGAGUACGGCCGCAAGGUUAAAACUCAAAUGAAUUGACGGGGGCCCGCACAAGCGGUGGAGCAUGUGGUUUAAUUCGAUGCAACGCGAAGAACCUUACCUGGUCUUGACAUCCACGGAAGUUUUCAGAGAUGAGAAUGUGCCUUCGGGAACCGUGAGACAGGUGCUGCAUGGCUGUCGUCAGCUCGUGUUGUGAAAUGUUGGGUUAAGUCCCGCAACGAGCGCAACCCUUAUCCUUUGUUGCCAGCGGUCCGGCCGGGAACUCAAAGGAGACUGCCAGUGAUAAACUGGAGGAAGGUGGGGAUGACGUCAAGUCAUCAUGGCCCUUACGACCAGGGCUACACACGUGCUACAAUGGCGCAUACAAAGAGAAGCGACCUCGCGAGAGCAAGCGGACCUCAUAAAGUGCGUCGUAGUCCGGAUUGGAGUCUGCAACUCGACUCCAUGAAGUCGGAAUCGCUAGUAAUCGUGGAUCAGAAUGCCACGGUGAAUACGUUCCCGGGCCUUGUACACACCGCCCGUCACACCAUGGGAGUGGGUUGCAAAAGAAGUAGGUAGCUUAACCUUCGGGAGGGCGCUUACCACUUUGUGAUUCAUGACUGGGGUGAAGUCGUAACAAGGUA